AGGUGCCUCCCGUCUCUCUAUCCUCGUCCUUUCAGGUUUAGGACCUGCUGGCAGGAUCCUGACGUCGCAGCUCACAACACUGCAGAAGGGCCACUUUUCUCACAGGACAAGACAGACACCCCAGCAGAAACAAGGCACACAGCAGGUUUAGGACCUGCUGGCAGGAUCCUGAAGUCGCGGCUCGCAACAAGUGGCGCCCGAACAGGGACCUGAAAGUAGAUGGGGAUAUGUAAUCCCGGACUCGGGUCGAAGGCAGCGACGGUGCUCCGGAGGACUGACCGCUGCGCCUGAUCCUCGCAAAUGCUGAUCAAUAGCAGCUCGCGACAACCCUCCAGCUAACACUCCAUCUUAACUAAUUAUAUCUACAACGAUCCCAUUUCCAACGGUCCCAUUCUGAGACACGGGAAGUGACGACUUCAACAUGAUUCGGGGAGACAUAAUUCAACCCAUUACAUCUGGAUCCUUACUCGGAGACGGUUAAAGGAGAAAGCAGAAGCAGGCUCUCAGUGGAAAGUAUCCUGGGACACAGCAUAGGAUGAGCAUCACUCACUAUGCACCUGACAGGUUCCAUUCUGAGGCCAUGGGGAAGGAUCCAGGACUCUUUCUGUCCUACAGGUGGCCACCUUUUCCCUGAGUCCUCUCUUCGCCAUUCUGCUGCCUGUCUGUAUCCACAUUUCCUCUUCUAAAUCAGCCACACUGGUUUAGAGCCCACCUAAUGACCUAAUUUUAAUUUAAUUACCUCCACAAAACUCCACCUCCACACCAGGUCACUUUCUGAGGUGCUGAGAGCUGGACUUCAACACUGGGACCUCAGAGAGAGGGCAUAAUUCAACCCAACACGGUGGUGUUUUUGCACAGCUGAAGUGCAAGAUCACUGCUCACCAUAGCUUCAUCCCACAGUGCUCUGACAGAUUGUUUUCCUAGGCCAAACACACAUCAGCUGUCACCAUCUCAUUCCAAGAAAAGGCAGAAGAGCCUAAGGAAGGAGGAAGCUUCCUGAUUUCUAGGAGCAUUUCCCAUGUGGAGCCAAGCAUUACGAGCCCUGGUAACAGCAGGAUUCUUAUUAAGGCUUGGGAAGGACAGUGGCACGAAUUCUACACCGGCUGCCCCACAAUGUCCGUGCGAAGAUGGUGAAGACGGUCACCUCAUGGACACCCUGAAGAAGACGACCAUGUAACAAUGUUGGUGCAGAUGACUGGUGAUGGUUCAUCUUCACCAGCCACUCACCGGGCUGCAGGCAGACACUGUGCUACACGCUUUGUGCAUGUUAAAGCUUCGUUCAUAGCAAAUGCCACAUUGUUCCCAUUUUGAAGAGGAAAUUGAGGCAUUAGGGAAUUCUUCAACCCUGUCAAUGGCUACAGUUUAGAACAUUCUGGAAACUUUCCCAAGCACACUAAGCCACCUAAAGAUAGAAAAGAGGCUCAGAUUUGGACACUGUCUUUUUCCAUGGUUUACACUAUUGAUUCCUAGAAUGGAACAGGGACGAAAUUUAAAAUGAAAGUGGAGGGCCACAGAUUUAGCUCAGAGGUUCCACCACCUCACUCACAAGC